AUUGAACGCUGGCGGCAGGCCUAACACAUGCAAGUCGAACGAGUGGCGGACGGGUGAGUAAUGUCUGGGAAACUGCCCGAUGGAGGGGGAUAACUACUGGAAACGGUAGCUAAUACCGCAUACUAUCGGAUGUGCCCAGAUGGGAUUAGCUAGUAGGUGGGGUAACGGCUCACCUAGGCCACGAUCCCUAGCUGGUCUGAGAGGAUGACCAGCCACACUGGAACUGAGACACGGUCCAGACUCCUACGGGAGGCAGCAGUGGGGAAUAUUGGACAAUGGGCGCAAGCCUGAUGCAGCCAUGCCGCGUGUAUGAAGAAGGCCUUCGGGUUGUAAAGUACUUUUAGCGAGGAGGCGUUACUCGCAGAAGAAGCACCGGCUAACUCCGUGCCAGCAGCCGCGGUAAUUC
rnacentral:rRNA from 1 species